CCAAGGAAGGCAGCAGGCGCGUAAAUUACCCAAUGUGGACUCCACGAGGUAGUGACGAGAAAUAUCAAUGCGGGGCGCUUCGCGUCUUGCUAUUGGAAUGAGAGCAAUGUAAAACCCUCAUCGAGGAUCAACUGGAGGGCAAGUCUGGUGCCAGCAGCCGCGGUAAUUCCAGCUCCAGAAGCGUAUGCUAAAGUUGUUGCAGUUAAAAAGCUCGUAGUUGAAUUUCUGGUGUGGGAGCCCAGGCCUCGGUGCGAAUGCGCCUUGUCUUGCCUUGCGGCUCCUUUGCCAUCCUCGUUUUUCUUUUGAAGAACGUCAUUCACUGUAAUCAAAGCAGAGUGUUCCAAGCAGGCCGUAGGGCCGGUAUGUUUAUUAUGGGAUGAUCAGAUAGGACUCGGGUGCUAUUUUGUUGGUUUGCACAUCUGAGUAAUGAUUAAUAGGAACAGUCGGGGGUAUCCGUAUUUAGGAGCUAGAGGUGAAAUUCUUGGAUUUCCGAAAGACGAACUACAGCGAAGGCAUUUACCAAGCAUGUUUUCAUUAAUCAAGAACGAAAGUCUGGGGAUCGAAGAUGAUUAGAUACCAU
rnacentral:rRNA from 1 species